rnacentral:lncRNA from 10 species
CCUGGAUCAAGCUGGGAGGUAGGGGAUCAGCAACUGCUUAUCAGUUAGUGCCUCACUGGUUUCUUCCCCAUGAGACACUGAAUAAAUAUUUGCUGAAUAAAUGGCCCACUGGCGCAUGUCACCUUGUCCUUAAACUCUGGCUCUAGCAGGAUUUCUGAGUCUCAGGGAGUGUCCCGCUCAACACACUUCAGGAAGUAGAUCUGUUUGCAGGAAAUGGCAGUGUUCUAACCUCAAGAAACUCAGGCUUUCUGAGGAGGGAGGCCCCACUGAGGUGACCUGUCCUGUCCUGUCUGAUGCAGGCCUCUGUCGUGAAAAGGUGGGAGCAACUUAUGCUUUCAGCUCUGUGAGGGACAUUUUCAGACUCACGGCUUCCUGCAAGGGACAGAACAAGACGCCCUGAGAGUGAGCUUGCUGUCCACAGAGGUGUGCGAACAGGCCAGCAACCUUCAACCGUGAGUUCCCAGAAGUGGGACCCAGGCCUCCAGCUGCAGCCUGUCCAGGUUCCCUAUCGGAUUAUAAAGCUUAACAUUUUUGUGAAGGAAGAAGAAAGCCUUCCCUCUGGAGAGCGAUAAGAACAUUCCAUCCUCCUCUGGCUCCAGGGAGCCUGGGAAACAAUCACCAAAGGGAGAGAGACUCCCCAGGGACAGGCUCCCGAGGGCACGGGCAGGGCUGCCCUCUGCUGGCCCUCCCACCCGCUCCUGCCCUUCACUCCACAGAGGCCUGGUCUGGUCUGUGGUCAGCCAGUGAGAUCCUGGGGCAGGGGCCUGGGGAAGGGGGCAGGCCUCAGGCUGCACAGACUAAGGUUCCUUGGGGUGGAGGGCUUCUCCGUAGCCUGGCUCCAUAGCUGGGGGGCACAAGGAACCUUGGGCACCAGCUCUCUUGAAUGUGAAUUGUGCAAUCUUGGCAGUAAGAGCUUCCUCCAAGGAGAUCACUCAGAAGACAGGCCAUAUGGGAGUUAAUUUGCAGUGGGGUUGUGCAUAGUUAAGGGAAACCACCAAGGGGUAUGAAGCAUCCCCCGACUAGCAAUGUGGGCGAGAGUAGUUACCAGAAUGCUGUUGGAAGGAGCAGGGCCAUGGCCAAGUUGAGGCCCCUCAAGGCUGGAGUCUCUCUCUGCUCUCAGCCUCUGGUCUCCUGCAGCCGAAAGGCAAGGAUGCCUGAAUACCACAGUCCAUGAAAGUCAGCCUCCUGCACAGAGUGAGGAGAGCCGGGAUCCAGAGGAGCACACGGAGAAGAUCCACAUACAAUAAUAUCUGUUGAAUGAACGAAUAAAUGCCCUUAAGAAACCCACAUAUUGUUGAAGACAC